rnacentral:rRNA from 1 species
GAUGAACGCUGGCGGCGUGCCUAAUACAUGCAAGUCGAGCGCACAGACGAGGAGCUUGUUCCUCUUACGUUAGCAGCGGACGGGUGAGUAACACGUGGAUAACCUGCCUAUGAGCCUGGGACAACUUCGGGAAACGAGAGCUAAUACCGCAUAAUAUCUUGAACCACAUGGUUCAAUAUUGAAAGACGCUUUUGCUUUCCCUUAUGGAUGGCCCCGCUCGUCUUUGCUAGUUGGUGAGGUAAAGGCUCACCAAGGCGAUGAUGCGUAGCCGACCUGAGAGGGUGAUCGGCAAAACGGGAACUGGACCACGGUCAAGACUCUUAGGGGAGGAAGAAGAAGGGAAUCUUCGGCAAGGGGCGAAAGCCUGACGGAGCAACGCCGCGGGAUUGAUGAAGGUCUCCGGAUCGUAAACUUCUGUUAUUAGGGAGGAACAAAGGGGUAAGGAACUGCGCACGAAGUGACGGUACCUAAUCAGAAAGCCACGGCUAACUACGUG